rnacentral:misc_RNA from 1 species
GAUGAAGAACGUAGCGAAAUGCGAUAAGUAAUGUGAAUUGCAGAAUUCAGUGAAUCAUCGAAUCUUUGAACGCACAUUGCGCCCUCUGGUAUUCCGGGGGGCAUGCCUGUUCGAGCGUCAUUACAACCCUCAAGCUUUGCUUGGUAUUGGACAUUGCCAGUUUCUGGCAGGUCUUAAAAUCAGUGGCGGUGCCAUUUGGCUUCAAGCGUAGUAAUUCUUCUCGCUUUGGAGAUCCAAGUGGUUACUUGCCAAUAACCCCCAAUUUUUUCAGGUUGACCUCGGAUCAGGUAGGGAUACCCGCUGAACUUAAGCAUAUCAAUAAGCGGAGA